rnacentral:misc_RNA from 1 species
AAACUAUAUACGAUGCGCCAAUUUCUAAAUGGAAAUCCUUGACAAACAGGAGAUUGCAAAACUGGGGAGGCGUUGUGCAUGAAAAAGGCCUUAUAGCUCAAGACUUGCCUCCUUGGUUAACUAGAAUUACAGAGAGAAUAAAUGAGAAGUCGGGGUUAUUUCCAUCAUCAGUUAAUCAUGUGCUUAUCAAUGAAUACCUUCCUAACCAAGGAAUAAUGCCGCAUCAAGACGGACCAGCUUAUUAUCCAGUAGUGGCAAUUCUUUCUCUUGGAUCUCCUGUAGUUAUUGAUUUCACUCCUCAUCCUAAUUUGAGCUGCCGUGUUGGUGCACAUGGAAAGGGUGCUGAGGAAAAAAUGUCUGAUCAGGAGGCUGCUGUGAUGAAUUCUUUUGAAUGGCUUGAUAACUUCCAUCCCUUCUCUAUCAUAUUAAUGCCUCGCAGUUUGUUGAUAUUCAAAGAUAUGGUCUACUCAGAAUACUUGCACGGUAUAAAAGAUUCUGAGGUGCAUGGAUGUAACAGGGUUGUAAAUGUUACAAAUGUUCAGAAUCAUGGAGUAGUACAGCACUCGUCAGAUUCAGUGAAAGGGCUUGAUAGUGAUGACACUUUCAUUUGCAGGGCUAACACCAGAGUUUCUUUGACCUGUCGAGUAGUAACAAAGGUUCAUAAAAGUAUUUUCAAAUUCUAGUUUCAUUUAAGAUAAGAAACAAGUCAAUAUAUGCAACUAAGCGUGUGUAGAGAAUUGAGUCCAGGAUAAUUAAACCCCCUGCAGUAUUGUAAUAUUAGUAUGAUUGAUGUACGCCAGUUAUUGUACAGUGAAAAACUCCAUGAUUUAACUAUUUAAACGUGGCGUAGCUAGAUUAAUCUAUUCCUUUUCUUAGUCUGUGCAUAGU